CAGUGAUUGAUCUGGUGAUCAUCACCUCCCCUUUCCUCAGACUCACCUCCUUCACCUUUUGGGAGACGGGGAACGCAGCGAGGCCUGCUCGUCGGCUGCAGCCUGCCAGCCUUUGCGUCCAUCCCCUCCCUGCUCUGUAGCGGGCCGCCCCGUGAAUGGUGGCUUUGUUUGCUGAUCCAACCCCCGAGCAGGCGCCCCGUGCAGCCCCCUCAGCCAGAGCCUUUGCACAUAGUGGACCAGAGCAAAGCUCUAAACCUUUAACCCUCUCCGUUUUUGGCUUCACAGGACUGCACAGCCUGCAGUAAAAUCACAAUGAGGGGGUUAGAGUAAACAGAGCAAAGGUACGC